rnacentral:rRNA from 1 species
CCUACGGGGGGCUGCAGUGAGGAAUAUUGGUCAAUGGACGAGAGUCUGAAGCAGCCAAGUAGCGUGAAGGAUGACUGCCCUAUGGGUUGUAAACUUCUUUUAUAAAGGACUAAAACGAGGCUCGUGUGCCUUUUUGCAUGUACUUUAUGAAUAAGGAUCGGCUAACUCCGUGACAGCAGCCGCGGUAAUACGGAGGAUCCGAGCGUUAUCCGGAUUUAUUGGGUUUAAAGGGAGCGUAGAUGGGUUGUUAAGUCAGUUGGGAAAGUUUGCGGCUCAACCGUAGAAUUGCAAUUGAUACUGGCAGUCGUGAGUACAGUUGAGGUAGGCGGAAUUCGUGGUGUAGCGGUGAAAUGCUUAGAUAUCACGAAGAACCCCGAUUGCGAAGGCAGCUUACUAAACUGUGACUGACAUUGAUGCUCGAAAGUGUGGGUAUCAAACAGGAGUAGAUACCCCAGUAGUC